UGGGGAAUUUUGGACAAUGGGCGAAAGCCUGAUCCAGCAAUGCCGCGUGUGUGAAGAAGGCCUUCGGGUUGUAAAGCACUUUUGUCCGGAAAGAAAUCCUUGGCUCUAAUACAGUCGGGGGAUGACGGUACCGGAAGAAUAAGCACCGGCUAACUACGUGCCAGCAGCCGCGGUAAUACGUAGGGUGCAAGCGUUAAUCGGAAUUACUGGGCGUAAAGCGUGCGCAGGCGGUUUGCUAAGACCGAUGUGAAAUCCCCGGGCUCAACCUGGGGAACUGCCAUUGGUGACUGGCAGGCUAGAGUAUGGCAGAGGGGGGUAGAAUUCCACGUGUAGCAGUGAAAUGCGUAGAGAUGUGGAGGAAUACCGAUGGCGAAGGCAGCCCCCUGGGCCAAUACUGACGCUCAUGCACGAAAGCGUGGGGAGCAAACAGGAUUAGAUACCCUGGUAGUCCACGCCCUAAACGAUGUCAACUAGGUUGUUGGGGAUUCCAUUUCCUUAGUAACGUAGCUAACGCGUGAAGUUGACCGCCUGGGGAGUACGGUCGCAAGAUUAAAACUUAAAGGAAUU
rnacentral:rRNA from 1 species